AUGCCGCUGCCGCUGCCUCACCUCGCCGCCGCUCGUAACACCACCCGCCGCUUCAUCUAAAAUAAAAAAAAAGUUAAUUUUCUAACCAUAAAGGACAAACCGAAGUAACCAGAUAAGAUAGCCAGAGAAUACCGCUUGACGACAACACUAUUUAAGCCAUAUAAUAAAACAAUUAAGAAUCUGU